GGUUUGGUUUGCUGUGAGGUUGGUUUUAUUUGGGUUUCGUUGUUUGUGUUACCUUUUGCAUCAUGAUUUAUUGAUUUUUGUUUGGAUAAUUGUUUCCGAAGGGUACUGAUUUUUGUUUUGCUUGCUUGGAGUUGUUUGGUAGUGAGUAACUUUCUGUAGAGCUUAGCUGAGGUUGUGAUAAGUGAUUCGGAGUACCUGAUAUCUGAUUUUGAGUAGAUUUUGUUGUUAUAUUGCGGUUUGGUUAUGAUAUCAGAUCGUGGGUAAGAUCUAGGUUGUGUGUUUUUUAUUACAGGGAUUAGAGUUCUCUUUGUUUUAUGUGUGUGUUAUGAUUCAUUGUUUGUAGUUUUUAUGUGGUUUAUGUGGGUCUACUUUUGGUUAAUAUGGUUGGAUAAUGGUAGAAUAAGUAGGUGUUGUGAUUGGUCUUGUUUUUUCUCGGCUGUUCUCGGUCUGUUUAUUAAAAACAUUUCUAUUUGGAUUUAUGGAUAGUAGUGCCUGCCCAGUGCUUUGUAAAUGGCCGCAGUAUUUUGACUGUGCUAAGGUAGCAUAAUUAGUUGCCUCAUAAUUGGAGGAUUGUUUGAAGGGUUUGACUUGGGAAUUUGGCUAGAUUUGGGCUUGGGCUGAAAUUGGAGUUGGGGUGCAGAUCCCUCGGUUUGUUAAUAAGACGGAAAGACCCCGAGAUCUUUAUAUUGUGUUAUUUGUUUGGGGCAAAAUGUUAUGUUUUAUGUGAUUUUUGAUCCUAAAGGAUAGAAGGUUUAAGUUACCUCGGGGAUAACUAGGUAAAAAAUAAGGAGAGGUCGGAUCGAUUUAUUUUAUUGCUAUCUCGAUGUUGACUUGGGGAAAAAUAAGGGGGUGUAGGAGUUUCUUUGUUGGGUCUGUUCGACCAUAGUUUCCCUCAUGAGUUGAGUUAAGACCGGUGUGAGCCAGGUCGGUUCUUAUCUAUUGGUGGUGCGGAUUACUACGAAAGGAUUGUUUGUGCUUUAGGUUAU
rnacentral:rRNA from 1 species